UACGUAGGGGGCAAGCGUUGUCCGGAGUUACUGGGCGUAAAGCGCACGCAGGCGGUCUUUUUAAGUUUGGAGUGACAGUUGGUGGCUUAACUGCCAAAAGUGCUUCGAAAACUGAAAGACUUGAGGGCUUCAGAGGGACACGGAAUUCCGGGUGGAGUGGUGAAAUGCGUAGAGAUCCGGAGGAACACCAAAGGCGAAGGCGGCUCACUGGCCCGAUACUGACGCUGAGGCACGAAAGCGUGGGGGAGCAAACAGG
rnacentral:rRNA from 1 species